rnacentral:lncRNA from 1 species
GGGCAGAUGGUGUUUCUCCAGCCUUUCUUUGGCCCACUUGUCUGGAAGUGAGGAGCAGCUGGGGUCUGGCUCUGGCAGUACUGCUGCCUCUGCAUCAGCCUGAGCCAUGGGCAGCCCUCCUGCAGCAAGUCUGUGGAAGCUGCAGAUGACAGGUGUCCCACACGGAAGAUCUUAGGAAACUCGUGGGUCUUCUCAUUAAAGGUGUUUCUUUCCCCAGGUACAGGACUGAGCUCCAGAGAACUGAGGUCUACCAGGGUCUUCAGAAGCUUUACUGAUGUUUCUUCCUCUAUUCUCAGGGCCCCUGGUUCCACGUCCUCCUGUCUGUCUGUUCCUUUGGGAACCUCCUCCUCCUCCCCGUAGACCACUAAUUCUUCAGGCUGCUCUUCAAUUGUUAGCUCUGUGUCCUCUGAAAGAGGAAUAGGGUGGUGAGUGGGUGUCACGAUCUUUACAGCCCAAUGGACUUGCUCAACUGCUGAAGGCAGGAGUACUGGUCUGUAGCGAGGAGGACGGACUCUUACUGUUCUGGAUGGUCCGAACAUCUGCUAGAUGGUAUAGGACAGCACUGGAUUUAUCAGGGAGGCUUCAGGAGACCAGGGGCAGGAUCCCCUGAGAGGAGGGCAGCGCCUGUAAGAGAAGUCCUCUGAGGCAGCUGAUCCAGGCCUGGGAGGAUGGAGAUCCUGGCAGAAGUACCUGGAGGCAGGUUUAAUGGAAGCUUCUGGAGCAGCUCAGUGAUCCUGCCACGGAAUGGAAGCAUUACCGGUCAGGUGUGCCUGAUGUACCAAAAGGGCCAGUUGUCACAGCCUGCAACCACACUUGCUCUGAAGUUCGACCAUUCAGAUCAGUUGGUGAGGUCCAAUUUGACACUAGUGACCAAACCAAAGGAGCUCAGCUGGACACCUGUUCCUCUGGAGACCAAAGGAGCAAUAUUGAGUUCACCUAUUGUGACUUCUGGCUGGAAUGCAUGACAGAGAAAGGGCUUGGGGACAAGCCCUGUUGGUCAGAGGAAGGCCCCCAGGAUAGGGAGCAAGGCUCAAUGUCCACUGCUAGUCUGCGUGUAGAGCUCCUCGGGACUCUGUGAUGCUUCUUUUCCCACCAAAUGAUUCUCAUCUCUUCAGAGUGUUAUUUGGGGCUGCUUUCCUAUUGGUUAUUUGACAUUCAUACCACAUGACUCCAAAUGAUACCUGUAUGGAUUCUCCUUGACGUGAGGAGGUCAUCUAGAUUUAUUAAUUACCCAAUCAAAACUGCCACCAAUUACCCCAGAACAGCUCUAAUCAUGUUUCCUCAAUAAUUUCCAGAUGCUACAAUUUUAGAAAAGCAUUAGAAUAAUCUGUGGAACAGUCCAGCAGAAAUCAGGAACCAGUAAUGGUGCCUGACUCUUUGAUUUUAGCUUCAGGCAAGAUAUGUACAUUUUGAAUGGGAUGAAGUUCCUUUUAUUCUAAAUAUAUAUAUAUAUAUAUAUAUAUAUAUAUAUUUAGAAUAAAAGGAACUUCAUCCCAUUNUGGACAGUGUGCUCCAAAGGACUUGGGCAGCCUAGUCCCAUGUCCUCUCACAUAGGCCGGCUCUAUCCUCAGCCAGCAACAUCCCCUGACAUAUCAUCCACAUUACCAGCAUCUCUUCAUCCCAGGGGUCACUACUGCAGCUUCAGCCUUCUUCGUAGCUGCACAUGUGACCCUCUCAGGGCGACCUACAUGGAUUCUCACCUCAUUACACUUUGACCUGCCAGGCCUUCCUUUGCAAUCUUGAUGGAAGCCUUCAUGACCACCUAAUUCCAGCAUCCUACAUUCCUGCAGAAGAAGAACCAUGUGGUUGAAGCCAAUGUCUGCCACCAUCUCAGGCAGUAGCCAGAUCUCUGAGGACCAUGGAAGAGGCAACCUUUGAGUGGCUGCUUGAGCCAUGGAGAAAAAAACUUCCUGAGAUAAUGCUAAGUGAAGUCAGCCAAUCCCAAAAACACAAAUACCAAAUGUUUUCUCUUAUAUAAGGAGGCUGACUCAUAGUGGGGUUGGGAGGGGGAGCAUGGGAGGAAUAUAGAUGAAUUCUAGAUAGGGAAGAGGGGUGGGAGGUAAAGGGAAGGGGCAGAGGAUUAGCAAGGAUGGUGGAAUGUGAUGGACAUCAUUAUACAAAGUACAUGUAUGAAGACUUGAAUUGGGUGUCAACAUACUUUAUAUACAAACAGAAAUACAAAAAUUGGGGUAUAUAUGUGUAUUAAGAAUUGUAAUGCAAAAAAAAAAAAGAGAAUAGCAUUACCUUAGAUUAGGUAGAGGGAAGUGAAAGGAGGGGAAGGCAGGGGAUGUGGGGAUAAGAAAGAUAGUAGAAUGAAACAGACAUUAUUAUUGUAUGUAUGUAUGUAUGUGAGUGUAUGACCAAUGUGAUUCUACAAUAUGUAUACUCAGAAAAAUGAGAAAUUAUAUCCUAUCUAUGUAUUAUACAUCAAAGUAUAUAAGUGCAUUCUAUUGUCAUGUAUAACUAAUUAAAACAAAUAAAAAAAAUUUUAAAAAAAGAAA